AUUGAACGCUGGCGGCAGGCCUAACACAUGCAAGUCGAACGAGUGGCGGACGGGUGAGUAAUGUCUGGGAAACUGCCUGAUGGAGGGGGAUCACUACUGGAAACGGUAGCUAAUACCGCCUACCAUACGAUUUGCCCAGAUGGGAUUAGCGAGUUGGUGGGGUAACGGCUCACCAAGGCGACGACCCCUAGCUGGUCUGAGAGGUUGACCAGCCACACGGGAACUGAGACACGGCCCAGACUCCUACGGGAGGCAGCAGUGGGGAAUAUUGCACAAGGGGCGCAAGCCUGAUGCACCAAUGCCGCGUGUAUGAAGAAGGCCUUCGGGUUGUAAAGUCCUUUCAGCGGGGAGGCGGUACCCGCAGAGGAAGCACCGGCUAACUCCGUGCCAGCAGCCGCGGUAAUAC
rnacentral:rRNA from 1 species